rnacentral:misc_RNA from 1 species
CCGAGUUGCAAAACUCCCAAACCAUUGUGAACCUUACCUAUCGUUGCUUCGGCGGAUCCGCCCCGGCGCUCCUCGCGACCGGAACCAUGGCGCCCGCCGGGGGAAACACAAACUCUUUGAAUCUCUGUGGAUUAUCUGAGUGGCGAAAGCACAAAUACAAUCA